CCGCUCGGCCCGUGCGGCUGCCCCCAGCUCCAGCCCCUCCCCUGAAGCCUGCGCUGUAGCCGCAGGCAGCCCCCGAGCCCUGUCGCGAGGGCAGCAAGCUGGCCCUGCGGUGGUCUGGAGUCUCCCUUAACGGGGGUGCCGUUAGCAGCGGCGCGGGGAACGAGCGGCGUCUGCGGAAGCCCCUGCGGAAGGAGGGGCUCCGGCCAGGGUCGAGCUGCGGUAAUAAUGGUCACUGCUGCCUCUUUCCUUCUCCCAGAGGCCACGCUGUGGGUGCGGUUGUCUGUUCGUCCCCUGGGGAUGCCGUUGACUGCAGCAGCCUCAGGCUUGCGUGGGCUGUCUCUGCCUGGCCUCCCUCUCCUCGCGGCGCGGGAGCGCAGAGGGACAGGUGGAGCGCUUACUGGCUGUGGACAGGAGCUGCUGAAGCUGACGCUGAAGCUGGAGAGGCCACAGAAUGGUAAAGCUGCUGAAGAAUAAAAUAAAGAGGAUCCAGCCACCAGCUGCAGACAGGAGAUAGCCUGCCUCUCCAGGUGGAUGACAGUCAAGUGAGUGCAGCUACAGAGGAGGAAGGGAGAGGGAGAGAGAGACAGACAUGUCUGAACUGUCAAAUUCUCCCAGCAGCUCCAACAGCAGGAGCCUGCAGUGAAGACCAUGGUGACACAGGCUGUCCCCCUGCAGCCCACGGAGGUCCAUGGCGGAGCAGAUAUGCACCCUGCAGCCGAUGGAGGACCCCUCGCCAGAGCAGGCGGAUUCACCCGAAGGAGGCUGUGACGCUGUGGAGAGGAGCCCACACUGGAGCAGGUUUUCUGGCAGGACCUGCGGCCCCAUGGGAGUGACACCACACUGGAACAGAAGAAGAGCACAAAGAAGGAAGGAGCAGCAGAGACAACUUGUGAUGAACUGACUGCAACCCCCCCCUCCUUCUCCCCCUGUGCUGCUCGGUAGGAGGAGGUAGAGAAGUCAGGAGUGAAGAUGAGCCCAGGAAAAAAAGAGAGGGGUGGGG